CACUCCCGCGAGCACGUGCGCGUCCUCGCGGCUCACAUUUCGGCGGAGGGCGCGCUCCCUGGAAAAUUCCACUCCUGUGCUAGCUCCACCCUAUGCGGCUUUUCUCCUACCCGACGCUCUUCACUCUCAGCUCCCUUCCCGGCGGCCUUUGCGGGAACAAGAUGGCAGCCCUCAUACCUCAAGGGUUCUCUUGUUUAUCGAGGGUUUUGGGCUGGUGGUCUCGGCAGCCAGUUCUGGUGACUCAGUCCGCAGCUAUAGUUCCAGUAAGAACUAAAAAACGUUUCACAUCUCCUAUUUAUCAACCUAAAUUUAAAACAGAAAAGGAGUUUAUGCAACAUGCCCGGAAAGCAGGAUUGGUUAUUCCUCCAGAAAAAUCGGACCGUUCCAUACAUCUGGCCUGUACAGCUGGUAUAUUUGAUGCCUAUGUUCCUCCUGAGGGUGAUGCACGCAUAUCAUCUCUUUCAAAGGAGAGAUGAUAGAGAGAACUGAUAGAGAGAACUGAACGAAUGAAGAAGACUAUGGCAUCACAAGUGUCAAUCCGGAGGAUAAAAGACUAUGAUGCCAACUUUAAAAUAAAGGACUUCCCUGAAAAAGCUAAGGAUAUCUUUAUUGAAGCUCACCUUUGUCUAAAUAAGUUGGGCCCAUGAGAUGUGUGCUCUGUAUAUUCCGGAGGUACAAUUUGCCAGUGUUUCCACAAUGGAACCAAUUGUUUUACAGUCUGUUCCACAUGAUCAUUGUAAUAAGGGUUAGAAUAGGCUCAGUGGCUCAUGCCUAUAGUCCUAGCACUUUGGGACGCCCAGGCAGGAGUAUCACUUGAGCCCAGAAGUUUGAAUCCAGUCUGGACAACAAGCAAGACCCUGUCUCUACAAAAAAGAAUAAAUUUAGCCAGGUGUGGGGAGGCACAUGUGUCUGUAGUCCCAACUACUCAAGAGGCUGCGGUGGGAGGGUCCCUUGAGCCCAGAGGUCAAGGCUGCAGUGAACCGUGACUGUGCCCUGCACCCCCACCUGGGCAACAGAGCAAGACCCUGUCUCAGAAAAGAACAGCAAGCAAAGAAACACAAAACAAAAAAGAAAGAAAGUUAAUGGACCGGGUGUGGUGGUUCACACCUAUAAUUUCAGUACUUUGGGAGGUUGAAGUGAGAGGAUUGCUUGAGCCCAGGAGUACCAGACCAGCCUGGGCAACAUUCUGAGAACCCACCUCUGCAAAAAAGAAAAACAAUUAGCCGGGCAUGGUGGUGCUCGCCUGUAGUCCCUCCCAACUACUCGAGAGGCUGAGGUGGGAGGAUCUCUUGAGCCUGGGAGGUCAAGGCUGCAGUGAGCUAUGAUUGUGUGACUGUACUCCAGCCCAGGUAACAGAGUGAAACCCUGUUUCAAAAAAAUAAAAAAAGUUAAUAAG